rnacentral:pre_miRNA from 1 species
AAAAUACUCCCUCCGUCCGGAAAUACUUGUCGGAGGAAUGGAUGUAUCUAGACAUAUUUUAGUUCUAGAUACAUCCAUUUUUAUGCAUUUCUCCGACAAGUAUUUCCGGACGGAGGGAGUACAUU